rnacentral:misc_RNA from 1 species
GGCGUUUUCGCUUCGGCGUUUACGCC